rnacentral:rRNA from 1 species
GUUAGGGGUAACCUGAGAAACCCGAAAGGUCGAAGGGAGAAAUUCAUUCGCGUUUCGCGGUAGGCGUUUGGCGGUCGCGUGACGAAAAACGCGCGUACGUUUCGGCGUACGUGUUCGUUUUUUCGCUCCAUCCGUCAUUCGAUCCGAUCGUGAACGCGUGCACUUUUCUCUCGGUAGGACGUCGCGAUCCGUUGGGUGUCGGUCUAAGGUUCGCGGUGGAGCCCGCAAAUAUACGUUUCACGACGCUAUUUGUGGACCCGCGUCUUUUCCCGACCGACUCGCUCGACGGUAUACGAUAGGUUUAAGGCCGCUCGAUACUUACACGAGCGUUCGACUCGUCGCAAGCGCGUCAGAUGUUUGUCGGCGAUCGGACCAGGUGCCGGUUCCGACCUCUGAUGACUGUUGGCGACGAAGUUCUCGAACGGACCUUAAUUUUCUUCACGGAAAAUUUUCAAAAACCGAUCUGCGACGCUAUAGCUUUGGGUACUUUCAGGACCCGUCUUGAAACACGGACCAAGGAGUCUAGCAUGCGCGCGAGUCAUUGGGAAUUUAAUAAACCUAAAGGCGUAAUGAAAGUAAAAGUUCGUCUCGCACGAACCUAGGGAAGAUGAACGGUUUUUUUGUGGACCGUUCCGCAUUCCCGGGGCGUCUCGUUCUCAUCGCGAGAAGAGGCGCACCAAGAGCGUACACGCUGGGACCCGAAAGAUGGUGAACUAUGCCUGGUCAGGACGAAGUCAGGGGAAACCCUGAUGGAGGUCCGUAGCGAUUCUGACGUGCAAAUCGAUCGUCGGAACUGGGUAUAGGGGCGAAAGACUAAUCGAACCAUC